ACGGCUGCUCAACAAAUUAUGGUUGUUUAAUUUACAUUUUAAGCGAGUACGUAUUAUUGACAAGAAAUGCAUUACCUAUCUCAGUUUAUACAAUUAAUUUCACUGCGAUUGUGAAUACAAAAUAUAACAAUACACGAACCGAUUAUAAAAAUCUUUCAGAUCUUAUCACGCGAAAUCAUGUGGCAAAAGAUCCCGGUAUUACAUGUACCAAAAAAAUUCGUAUUAGUGUGACAAAAGAUUAAUCGACACCUCGAUUACCGCCAGCUAUAGAGGAGUUUAUCUUUCCGCGUCUACGAUUAUUGUAUGCCACAACUUGAACAACUAACUUGCGCGAAACGUGAUUGCAGAGAGACCAAGACACCAUUCCGUGUUAUCACACGUUCUCUUAUACAUAUCCAACCACGUCCACUGUACCGAGCAGCCAGCUGUUAUCACUCGUCCUGCUCGUUAAUCCGGUUACUGGUAACCAACGGGGUUUGUCCCGUACCUUGUCCGAUCAGACCCUAAGCUCGGUAUAAUUCUAAGGCGUGACGCCUCGGAGGAAAACGUCUAUCUCUUCAUCCGGGAUUCAACGAAUGGUUAUCAAUUCAUAUCAAUUUUCCGACGAUUCUUGGUCCGCGAAAUCUCGCGUUUGUUUAUCAUUCUACCGCACGGAAAUCGCGAUUCAACGGGACGACGUAUCCUCGGUAAACAAGUUUCCGUCACAGAUGGAUCACCCUGUACGACACGUGUGUCAUACCGCGAUUCUACAAAGGGUCCUCCGUUAUCCAGCUACACGAUCGCGAGUAUCAGUCACGAUUCCCGACGAGGUUCAAUGGGAUUAAUCACCGAUGGGAGUUCCCGCGAGUCGCACAGUCGGGGACCUCGGAUUGCACAACAAACCCGAUGCGUGCACUCCCACUGGAAACACGCUUUCCUUGUGCAACACCGAGCCGCAUGCAUGCAUCUCAAUUGCGAAAUGCAUCGCGUCUCGGCCGACGCGUUUAAUUCUUUGGCGAACCACGGAUUUUGACCCAUUUCGAAUAUGCGGACAACGAUCCUUACGGUGGCUACGGGAGGUCAAGAGAGGCGUUAAACCUUGAAGCCAAUGCCUUGAGCCGCGAAUGGAAGAUUGGACUUAUCGAAGUGUGGCGGGGUGGAACGUGGUACACGCGUCUUAUCACUCUUUCAGUGAUCGUACAAAUUGUACGUUACAACCACUUGUACCGCACGUGUUUACAUUUCGUGGAUUCGUAAAACGCUUCGCGGUUGGUGUUGCAGACGUUUGAUACAGGUAAGUUCCUACAGUCAGGAAUGGAACAUUGCCCAAAAACAGGACAGUACCAAUGUCUACGAAGUAAGGAUAUUUGACUAAAAUGUCCUUGGAUAUCGUUCCUUCGAUGGUACCGGUGCAAUCCCUCAAAACUACCAAAGGAUCUGGUCGACUAAAGUCAACCCGUUGUACCACCCCUGCUAGAAAUGGUAUUUUACAGUUUUUAUACGAAUUAGCCAAAAGCUUUUUUUUUAUAGUUGAUAUUU
rnacentral:lncRNA from 1 species